UCUUAUUAAGAGUGGUGGAGGGACUGGCCCGAUGAAGCCCGGCAACCGUCAAGCUAUCCAGCUUGAAAAGGUGCCAAUUCCUGCAGAGUUCAUAAGCUCUGACAGAUAAGA
rnacentral:ncRNA from 1 species